GAGGGUAUAGCUCAGUGGCAGAGCGCAUGUUUAGUGGUAGAGUGCAUUCUCAGUAUGCACAAGGUCCUGGGUUCAAUCCCCAGUACCUCCA
rnacentral:tRNA from 1 species